rnacentral:rRNA from 1 species
CCCUAUGGGGUGCAGCAGGAGCGUGAAUUUGAACCGGUGGGUGGCCUCAAGCCUCUUCCCGUGGAUGUACGCAUCAUCGCCGCCACUCAUUGCAAUCUCGAACAGAUGGUGACCGAGGGCCGUUUUCGCGAGGAUCUCUAUUACCGGCUCAAUGUCAUCCCAGUAACCAUCCCUUCGUUGCGGGAUCGGGCCGAAGAUAUUCCCCUGCUCAUCGAACAUUUCAUCCAUCGUGUCGGACAAAGUAAAAAAUCACCGCUGGUCGGUUUUGACGAUGUGGCCCUUGCUGCCCUGAUACGCUUUCCCUGGAAGGGUAAUGUGCGCGAACUGGAAAACCUCAUCCACCACAUGACCAUCCUCAACGGCGGGGGGGC